rnacentral:misc_RNA from 1 species
AACGCACCUUGCGCUCCUUGGUAUUCCGAGGAGCAUGCCUGUUUGAGUGUCAUGAAAUUCUCAACCUUUCCUAGUAAUAAGGUUAGGCUUGGAUCAUGGAAGUUGCUGAUUUUGUUCAAGUCAGCUCCUCUAAAAUACAUUUGCAAAGUUCUUUAUUCAUUAUCUUUGAUAUGAUAACUAUCUAUAUCGUUGAUAAUAUAAGUAGUUCCUAUAUGGAAGUUCUUUGUUUUUAAUGUUCCCAUGGAACAACUUGACAACUUUUGACCUCAAAUCAGGUAGGACUACCCGCUGAACUUAA